AGAAUGCCGGAUUAGAGAGGUGACUCUGGGUCGUGUGCUGAGGGCUGUGGUAACUUUCAAAGGAAUAUUGAUUGAAUGGGUUGUUGUGAGAGCAUAUAAUGAACCAUUACUUGAUGAGGAUGGAAAGGUUGACUUGUACACACCAUCCCAAUACAAAGUGUUUCAGAAAGUGACCGACAAUGCAAAUGCUGCGAUGUUGAACUUCUGUUCACCAGGAUUUUCUGACUUGUCUAUCCGCUCCUUCUUUGAUUUGUGGGCUUUUUCAAUACCAUCAUUCUGUGGCCUGGGUUCCCCCUGUUGGAUGUUUUUGGAUGGGAGACAUUUCAGUUGCCAAAUCUGCAACACCUGUUCUACAUGUCUGUUAAUGGCUUAGUAGGAACUGUCCUGUCUGAACUUCUUUGGCUUUGGGGAUGCUUCCUUACUUCAUCAUUGAUGGCUACUUUAUCUUUGAGCUUAACUAUUCCCUUGACAAUGUUUGUGGACAUCUGGCUCAAGGGCAUCAAGUAUUCACUGCUAAUUUAUAUUGGUGCAAUUCCCAUGAUGACAUCUUUUAUUGCUGUCUCACUUCUCACACAUUAUGAAAGCUGGGACCCAUUGAUGGAUGGAAUGAAAUAUCUUCAUAGAAAGUGUUGGAGAAGAAACCACAUGUACAGUUUGGUUGACACAGAGGGAGUGGAAAGAGAGUUUGACUGUUAAUAGUGCUGACAAUGACGAAGCUGAGGAUGAAGAAGAACUAGACACCACACUCAUUAACAACUCCUUCACCAUCAACAGUAGUGCCACAGUCAUCAGUAGUAAUUAUUCCAUAGUCGGUAAUGAUACUGCCACCCCAGCCCCCAUAAGUAACAUCCUUACCAACCAUGUCUGAAAUCAUUGUACAAACUUGAUUAAUAUGAUGCUUAUUGUAAGAUAUUCUGAUUUUAAUUUAUUGCAAGUUUUCCCUCCAAUUAGAAAAAGUGAGUUGAAAUAGUAUUCAAGGAAAAAUUACAUGCUGUAUAUGGCAGUGGUACUGUUAUGAAGUGAGAAUAAAUCAAUAUUGAGUAGUCACUGCAGAAACUGUCCACAUGCCCUAGUUAAGGAAGUGCUCUGAGUAGAUACAUAACAGGAAGUACAGUAGUGUUAACCAUGAUUUAUUAAUAAUUUUAUAGAUUGGGUAUUAUUUUUAAAUAUUUCAUAUUUUCAUCUUAACUGCAUCAGAAUUAAUCAUUAGUACAAUUAAUUCCUCUUUCUAAACACACUCCUUUCUUAACACAACCAUCCCCAAAAUUUAGGAUGAGUUAUUGUUAGGUUUUUAACACUAGAUUUAAGAUAUACUAUGCUCCCACAAUGGGUUCCCAUAUUCCUUUUGGUUACUGAACUGUAAAGUAAUUUGGUGAAGCAUAUUGCUCUUUUAGUAGCUGUAGGGUGAUAGUUUACUCAGGAAAUCAUCAUAAUUGCACAAAUUUUAUGAGAUGAAAAGUUUUGAAUAUUUUGGGCAAGAAACUAUCAUGCAUCUAAACAGGUAGAGAAUUUUCCUGUACUGUAGUGUGUUACCUAUAGUUUGGGUGAUAUAUGAAAAUGAUAAUUUUUCCCAACAUAUAUUUUAGAUGAUACUCCUACUGAUAAUGUGUUUUUAUUGGCUGUGCCUUGGGCAUAGCAGGAAAUAAACUUGAUAUCUAUA
rnacentral:lncRNA from 1 species